rnacentral:rRNA from 1 species
UACAGAGGGGGCAAGCGUUGUUCGGAAUUACUGGGCGUAAAGGGCGCGUAGGCGGCCUGUUAAGUCGAAGGGGAAAUCCCCGGGCUCAACCCGGGAACUGCGUCCGAUACUGGCUGGCUUGAAUCCGGGAGAGGGAUGCGGAAUUCCAGGUGUAGCGGUGAAAUGCGUAGAUAUCUGGAGGAACACCGGUGGCGAAGGCGGCAUCCUGGACCGGUAUUGACGCUGAGGCGCGAAAGCCAGGGGAGCAAACGGG